AGCUGGUCUGAAGGUAGUAAGUUAUCUCACUUUAUUGUUCAUAGUCAGUUACAGAUUGAACUUCUUGUUCUACUACUUUCCCCCCUUCUCACUACUGCACUUGAUUAGUCUUUA
rnacentral:Y_RNA from 1 species